GUCGGUUUGUACUUUGAAGCUCCAUUUUUGACUGUGUUUCCAUGUGGCCUUGCCAAGAUAAUUGCCAAUUAGGUCUAUGGCAGCGUGUCAAAGAAGAUAAAGGAAGUCUAGGUCAGAACACAAGGUUUUGGAGGAGAGAUGCCCACCUGCACUCAAGGAUUGGAACAAGUUAUGCAACACAACCUUGAAUUUGCAGAAGGCACAGGCAGGCACACCAACAAUUAGAACGGAGUUAUACAAUCCAGGGAGAAGGCUGCCAGUAGCAUAGUCCAGGAGGUGAAAGAGAAGUAACCGAGGUGUCCAAAGAAAGGAGAACUUCAGAAAAGGCCUUACAAAGGUUCUUGUCCAUCCAAGAUAUGUCUUCCCAGGAGAAGGCCAGAUCUGAAGAUGGAUAUGAUCUUCCAGACGUGUCAUAGAACUGCCUCUGAACAGAAGGUUGGAGGACAUAGUUCCAGUCUUGUUUAUUCUAAGUGAUCAUAAUAAGCACAAGAUUGCUCCAUUCUUAGGGAGU